rnacentral:lncRNA from 1 species
AUUUUUAUAAUGAAUGUGGGAUAUAUGAGUAUAUGAGGAGGAAGAGUAUUUUUGUGGCAUUAAAUGUUUAACAUAUGUUUUGUGUGUCGGUGGACACAAUUCUUGACCGAAAAUUGAUUAUAGACUGUAAAAUCGCUCAUUUAUGGAUUUCGGAUAAUUUGUGUUUGGAAUUUGAAAAAACUUCCUUCUUCAAAGUUGUAGAGAAUUGAAUUUCCUAUAAAAAGUCGCAAGAUUCGAAUUUUCUGACAAAAGGGCUAUUUAUCAUGAAUUAUUGAAGUUCCGG